UUAUAUUAGUUAUGCUCUUUCUGUUGGGCGAACAAAUCUCAUAGAGUUAUAUAGUUUGACCAGAUCAACAACACCCUACUAUGGUGUCACUGUCAAGACUCUCCGUGUAUCACCUCGAUGUCCUCACUGUGUGGUUCUGUCUGUUGUCAGUCACCCAGGCGUAUGUUGACGAAGAUACAGAGCCUCCGAGAUCCCGACCAAAGCCUACAACUGCACCAAUUCCAAAGACUGUCAUAAUUGACGAAGAUACAGAGCCUCCGAGAUCCCGACCAAAGCCUACAACUGCACCAAUUCCAAAGACUGUCAUAA